GCCAUGUGUUUACCGUCCUCGAACUCCGACAGUAAAAUUGAAGCAAACGUCCUGCUCUAGGACACGUAUCAGUCGUGCUUUACCUUCGGUUUCGAUAACACGGUUUCAGUGUCACGGCAUGGAGAUUAAUACAUUCAAUACAUUAUACAUUAAUAUAAUUGUAUAAAUUAAUACAUAAUUAAUACAUUACGACCACGAGGGACAUCGGCGGAAUCGUUGAUCGAACGGACGUCCCCCGGCGAGACAUGGACGUGUACCACGAGAAAAUGACGGGAGGGCAUUGUACAGUGAGAUCGACGAGGAACAGAGACGGACGAGGGCCGUUUCGAAUGAGGUGUCCCUUCUGUGUCUACCUGGCGUGGACACGCGUAUCGUUAACACUUGGAACGUGUGGCAAUGAUAUCGCGUGCGUGUUGCGCUUGGUUUUUGGAUGUGGAGGAUGAUAUUUCAUUUUCGAGAAUAUUCGUCGCGACAUUUUUUUCUGAUGAUUUUUUUUGUAACGAUUAGAAAUAGUAAUUGUUGUUGUACGGUGCGUGAAUGCGUUCAUUGUGGAACGAAAAAAUUCGCGUGAUUAUUUUUUAAUAGGAUGGAAGAAUGUUUGUUUAGUCUUUUAGAUUUAAUAAUAGAUAGUUUGUGUAAAAUUAAUGAUAAUGUUUAUCUCUUUAUUUUUUAUGUUGUGAAUUUAUCGAUAUUUCAAUACGAAUAUAAACGAAUAUAUGAGGAAUGAAUAAUUUUAAUUUAUUUUAAAUUAUCGUUUUCUUUAGAAUUAAAAUUAGAAAUUAGAAUAUAGAAUGCAACAGAUAUGUAUAGAAAUAAGAGAGAGAUAAAUACAUAAAAAUUUUUGUUUUCAGAAAUAGUAAAAGGAUUUCGUGUAAUAACCUCUUGUCCAAUUAUAUUCUCCUGAUACAAA